rnacentral:rRNA from 1 species
CCAAGGAGUCUAACAUGUGCGCGAGUCAUUGGGACUUGUUUUUAAGCCUAAAGGCGCAAUGAAAGUGAAGGCCGACCCUGGCGUCGGCCGAGGGAGGAUGGCUCGCGUCACGAUGCGAGCCCGCACUCCCGGGGCGUCUCGUGCUCAUUGCGAGCUGCGGCGCACCCAGAGCGUACACGUUGGGACCCGAAAGAUGGUGAACUAUGCCUGGUCAGGACGAAGUCAGGGGAAACCCUGAUGGAGGUCCGUAGCGAUUCUGACGUGCAAAUCGAUCGUCGGAACUGGGUAUAGGGGCGAAAGACUAAUCGAACCAUC